rnacentral:rRNA from 1 species
UCUGCCCUCAAGUGGGAAUAACGCUGCGAAAAGCAGUGCUAAUACCGCAUAAGCUGUGCUGUUAAAAGCAUAGUAAAGCUUCGGCGCUUGAGGAGGAGCCCGCGUCUGAUUAGCUAGAUGGUGGGGGUAAUUGGCCUACCAAGGCGACGACGGGUAGCCGGCCUGAGAGGGCGACCGGCCACACUGGGACUGAGACACGGCCCAG